GGAAAUAAUACGUUAUGUGUCCGGAAUGGUUAGUUUAUUGCGAUUUAUUUAUGAGGUUACCUGAGGCAAUAUACAAUUUAUUGUUUUUAUUAUGUGUCUGUACUUUGAAUUGUUUUCGAAAUCAUGGGUUUAUUAGGGGGAAUUUACGGUUUUCGACGUCAUGUGACCACGUGAUUAAAUUUAACUACCAUUUUUAUGUAACUUUAAUUUAUUCAAUAAUUAUUUUAGCGUAUUAAAAACGACUAAAUAAAAUUGAACUAAAAUUAGAUGAAUAUUCACUUCAAAAAUAGUUAGGGGUACGAAUUUAGAAAAUAAAGGUACCGUGAUGCUUUCUAAACUCCGGUAUGCACUCUUUAACCAAUGAAAUUCAAGGCUGAAAUUAUAUAAAAGCACGUGUUCCGAUUGAUGGUAGUCUCGAAUGUCAAAAUGAAAACUAUAAUACUAAUUUAUGCAAAGUCUGGAUAAACAUAACUACAGAAGGGGUUCAUCUGGCUCUCCACGGAAACCAACCGCACUGCAUUCAUUUCUAUUGGGGAACACGUGGGUGAGAAGAUCGGUUGAAAAAGAGGUGUUAGCGGUUAAGGCGAUUAGUAUACUGCAGGAUAGAAAUGCCUGGCUUCAUCAAUGCAACAGAGAAAAUUACAGAUUGGUUACAGGUCUUCCAGUAUGCCUAAUUUCAUGAUGUUCGCAAUUAGUUUACAGUGUUGAAUUGUUGAUUAAAGAUGGCGACUUUGCUUUCAAAUGUGUAAAGUGAUGAAAUGGAUCAUGGUGAUGGUUUGCAGCAUUGGGUACAUUUUGCUACUGUUGACUUUUUUGGCUGCAAGUCUUCAAAUAGUUAAUGUGCAUUGUUCAAGAUCUGUGUGGAUAUGAAAAAA